UACGUAGGUGGCAAGCGUUGUCCGGAGUUAUUGGGCGUAAAGCGCGCGCAGGCGGCCUCGCGCGCCCGACGUGAAAGCCCCCGGCUUAACCGGGGAGGGUCGUUGGGGACGGCGGGGCUUGAGGGCGGGAGUGGGUGGUGGAAUUCCCGGUGUAGUGGUGAAAUGCGUAGAGAUCGGGAGGAACACCCGUGGCGAAGGCGGCCACCUGGGCCGACCCUGACGCUGAGGCGCGAAGGCGUGGGGAGCGAACGGG
rnacentral:rRNA from 1 species